rnacentral:tRNA from 1 species
GUCUCGGUGCUGAAAUUGGUAAACAGGGAAGUCUCAAAAACUUCUGCGAAAGCUUGUGGGUCCGACUCCCAUCCGAGAUA